rnacentral:rRNA from 1 species
CUAAUCCUACGGGAGGCAGCAGUCGGGAAUAUUGCGCAAUGGAGGAAACUCUGACGCAGUGACGCCGCGUGCAGGAAGAAGGUUUUCGGAUUGUAAACUGCUUUAGACAGGGAAGAUAAUGACAGUACCUGUAGAAUAAGCUCCGGCUAACUACGUGCCAGCAGCCGCGGUAAUACGUAGGGGGCAAGCGUUAUCCGGAUUUACUGGGUGUAAAGGGAGCGUAGACGGCAGAGCAAGUCCGGAGUGAAAGCCCGGGGCCCAACCCCGGGACUGCUCUGGAAACUGUUAAGCUGGAGUGCGGGAGG